AUGCUAGACUGUAUCACGCUGCACGAGCCUGCCUUGGAGCACGAGGAUGAUCGCACCUUGUGGAGGCUCGAGCCCUCUGGCCACUUCUCCACUAAAUCCCUCUACCGGGCUAUCACAGCUUCCCGGGGCCCGGAGGCUCUCACGAUCAUCUGGGAGAUCCGGCCCCCCUUAAAGAUAAGGAUUUUCUUGUGGCAAUGGAUCCGCGGCCGCCAACCUUCCGGCGUGGAGGUGCUUAAGCGCAACGGCCCCAGAGACGGGUUGUGUCCGCUUUGCGAGACGGAGGAAGACUCGAACCAUAUCUUAUUCACCUGCCUGUCCGCGCGACUCCUCUGGAGCUGUUUCCGCGAAGUAGUGGGUGGAAGUUGGUGCCACAACAACUUCCCUGCUCUCUUCGCUGAACUCCAGGCAUUGCCCCCCACGUCCCGCCACAUUAGGUGGCUGACAAUUGGGGUGCUCGCCUGGACGCUGUGGAGGGUUAGGAACAAGCUCGUGAUUCAGCAUAUACCUCUACGACAUGCUACUGUGUUCAAAUGGUGUGGUUACUUGCAGCUUUGGCGUCCGCUUAGCCGCCCCAGGGAGAUGGACGCCAUCAACUCCAUAUCCCAGCUUCAUGCGAUGGCUCUCCGUUUGGCACCGCCGCUCCCUCCCCCACCACCGGAGCCGGAUUAG
rnacentral:rRNA from 1 species